CUCCUGAUAUUUGGGAAAAAAACAAGCUCUGCUUUUUUUGGCAAACCACUGGUGAUAGUAAGACCCAAAGCCCAGAUGAUUUCUGCCAUAACCUUCUCAACCUUUGGAUGUUUUCUCAGCCAAUCACUGAGCUCAACUCUGAAGAAGUUAUUCAGGCUCAUUUACUACCAGACUCCAAGGUAAAGAAAGACGUCAUUGGAGGGCAGAUCAGGAUUUUACUGGAACUAGAGGAGAAGUGGAAAUCACCUAGAAAUCCUGAGCAGAUGGAAGACAGGAG